GAAUCGGGCGACGACUCCAAUCUCAAACCGGAAGUGCCUUGGUCGGAAAGGGGGUUUUGAGUCUUCUUAACCCAGGAGUCCUUGCAUAGAGUCCCCCCGUCAUCAAAUUGAUGGCUGCUUUCAGUUCCUCCUGUUCCUCCUUUAUAGGGAUGAACUCUGGAUCCUGCUGGUCCAAACCGGAGCUCUGUUCAUGGGGAACCUCUUCUUUAAUCACCAGCUACUGCACAUCUGCAGGGAACACAGCACUGGAAAGAGAGACAUAACUGGAAUAAAUUUAAACAGAGUACAAGUCAGAAGUGUACAAACAGAAAUUAUUGUCAGAUUUCUAACAAUCCUUGAACUAAUCAUCUAUGAUGUGCUUUUCUAUCAGAAAAAUGAUCCAAAUCUAAGCUUUAAACCAAGAGAUUUUAUCAUAAUCACUUGAUUGUACAUCACAAAUAAAAAUUCACCAAAAGUAAA